rnacentral:lncRNA from 10 species
GAGAUCUGAAGCCGAGCAACUUGCCCAAGUCCUUCUUCUUUUCCCAUUAACAAGAUAUGAUAUCACCAAGCCAAACGUCAUCAUUAAGUUGGAGCAGGGAGAGGAGCUGUGGAUAACGGGAGGUGAAUUUCCAUGUCAACAUAGUCCAGGUCAGACUGCAGUGGUGUAAUCAUAGCUCAUUGAAGCCUCAAACUCCUGAGCUCCAGGAAUCCUCCCACCACAGUCUCUCAAAUACUUGGGACUACAGCAUUUAUUUGAAAGAUAAACCUCUUGGAUGUGACUCUGGAGACAAGACCAGCAGCUCGAGACCAUUCAAUCCAAGGUAUAAAAUGGGAGAAAAUCAGCUCCAUCAUGG